CCUACGGGCGGCAGCAGUGAGGAAUAUUGGUCAAUGGCCGGAAGGCUGAACCAGCCAUGCCGCGUGAAGGUCAGUGCCCUAUGGGCGUUAAACUUCUUUUGUGCGGGAGCAAUAAUGGUCACGUGUGGCCAGACGAGAGUACCGUACGAAUAAGCAUCGGCUAACUCGGUGCCAGCAGCCGCGGUAAUACGGGGGAUGCAAGCGUUAUCCGGAUUUAUUGGGUUUAAAGGGUGCGUAGGCUGGGAGGUAAGUCAGCGGUAAAAUGUCGGGGGUCAACCCCGGCCGGCCGUUGAAACUGGCGUGCUCGAGUUGGAGAGAAGUAUGCGGAAUUCGUGGUGUAGCGGUGAAAUGCAUAGAUAUCACGAAGAACCCCGAUUGCGAAGGCAGCAUACCGGCUCCACACUGACGCUGAGGCACGAAAGCGUGGGUAUCGAACAGGAUUAGAUACCCGAGUAGUC
rnacentral:rRNA from 1 species